rnacentral:lncRNA from 1 species
CCGGUUCGUACACUUUUCCCGUCACAUUAGAUAGGAAAAGUUCGGAACCCUCCCAUCACACAUGACAGUAAAAGUUCCGGUUAUUAACUAGUUAUGUAUUAAAUUUAACCCCUUAUUUAUAAGAAUGGCUGCUGGAAAGAAGACCUUUAGUACUGUAUGCCAUUGUGCAUCGGAGCAAGCCACAUGAAGGUUGCAAUAAAGAUGAUGGUAUGCUGAAAACUUCAGUCUUCACCUCUGAUGAUUUCCUGCAGCCUAGCACCUGGUAUACCUCUCAGUCUCACAUGUCUUCACUCUUUCUCGCGUUAGCGCAAGCAUAACUGCAUUAUCUGUUGAGGUCCCAUCAAAUGCACUUGCUGAAAUAUCUGGCAAAUAUUGUGGGAACAGAAACACAUGCUAACAAACGUUGUGGAGAAUGGAAAGACAAAUACUUGCCAAUUAAUGAUAAAAGAAAUGCCUAAUUUGAAGAAGAUGUGUCAAGAUGAACUCAAACAAUGGAACAUUUUAUAUAAUUUCUGUACUUGUUGGAUGGGCUGAAGCAUUCAUAAUGUGUCUCCAUAUCUUGUUAUGCCAAGCUUAGGACUGAUGUCAUCAUUAAGUCUUAGAUUCAAGCAAGUUCAAGUCGUAUUUACCUCUUCAUAUUUGAGUGAAAAGACAUCAAGAUCACAUUACAAACAUUGUUCUCUUUUAAUAAAAAUAAUUGUCAUAAAUUGUCUUACAAAUGCAA